rnacentral:lncRNA from 1 species
CAACGGGAGAGAUCAUCCGGGUGGUUCAUCCCCACAGGCCAUGCAAACUUGCCCUGGGCAGUGACGGGGUACGAGUGACCAUGGAGAGCGCCUUGACUGCCCGAGACCGGGUGGGGGUGCAAGACUUUGUUCUGCUGGAGAACUUCACCAGUGAGGCUGCCUUCAUUGAGAACCUCCGGCGUCGAUUCCGGGAGAACCUCAUUUAUACCUACAUUGGCCCUGUCCUGGUCUCUGUCAACCCCUACCGGGACCUACAGAUCUACACACGGCAACAUAUGGAACGCUACCGUGGCGUCAGUUUCUAUGAAGUGCCGCCUCAUCUGUUUGCAGUGGCUGACACUGUAUACCGGGCGCUUCGUACUGAGCGUCGGGACC